rnacentral:snRNA from 1 species
GUGUUUGCUUUGGUACACAUACACUAAAACUGUAGGAAUCAUAAAAAAUUAGGAUGGCCUCUGGGAAAGGAUAAUAUGCAAAUUCACGAAGCCUUUU